ACCGGCAGCUCCCUUUCCGCCCACUCCUCCUGGGCCUAAAGCGUUCGUAGCCGGUUUGAUAAGUCUCUGGUGAAAUCCCGCAGCUUAACUGUGGGACUUGCUGGAGAUACUAUUAGACUUGAGGUCGGGAGAGGUUAGGGGUACUCCCAGGGUAGGGGUGAAAUCCUAUAAUCCUGGGAGGACCACCUGUGGCGAAGGCGCCUAACUGGAACGAACCUGACGGUGAGUAACGAAAGCCAGGGGCGCGAACCG
rnacentral:rRNA from 1 species